GAUGAACGCUGGCGGCGUGCCUAAUACAUGCAAGUCGAGCGAACAGACGAGGAGCUUGCUCCUCUGUCGUUAGCGGCGCACGGGUGAGUAACACGUGGAUAACCUACCUAUAAUACUGGGAUAACUUCGGAAAACCGGAUCUAAUCCCGGAUAAUAUAUUGAACCGCAUGGUUCAAUAGUGAAAUUCGGCUUUUCUGUCACUUAUAGAUGGAUCUGCGCCGCAUUAGCUAGUUGUGAAGGUAACGGCUUAUCAAGGCAACGAGGCGUAAGCGACCUGAGGGACGGGUAGGCGGCACGAGAGCGUGACCACGGUCCAGGCUACUACGGGAGGCAGCAGUCGGGAAUCGUACGCAGCGGGCGGAAGCCUGGCGGAGCAGCGCGACGUGAGAGAUGACAAUCUUCGGAUCGGAAAACUCUGUUAUUAGGUGUGAACAAAUGUGUCAGUAACUAUGCACGUCUUGACGGUACCGGGUCAGAAAGCCACGGCUAACUACGUG
rnacentral:rRNA from 1 species